rnacentral:rRNA from 1 species
UGACAGACGCCGGCGUAAAGAGUGGUUAAUUAAAUUUAAACUAAGGCCGAACACCUCCAAGAUCGUCAUACGUACCCGGAGGAGGAAGCUCCCCAACGAAAGUGGCCUUAACUUACAAUGAACCCACGAAAGCUAGGGUA